UACGUAGGCAGCAAGCGUUGUUCGGAGUUCCUGGGCGUAAAGGGUGCGCAGGCGGACUUAUAAGUCAGUGGUGAAAUCUCACAGCUUAACUGUGAAACUGCCUUUGAUACUGUAGGUCUUGAAUUAGGGAGAGAUUCGUGGAAUUCCGAGUGUAGCAGUGAAAUGUGUAGAUAUUCGGAAGAACACCAGAGGCGAAGGCAGCGAAUUGGCCCUAUAUUGACGCUCAGGCACGAAAGCAUGGGGAUCAAACAGG
rnacentral:rRNA from 1 species